UUGAAUGGCCGCAGUAAUUUGACUGUGCAAAGGUAGCAUAAUCAAUAGUUUUUUAAUUAAAAGCUUGAAUGAAUGAUUGGACGAGAUAAAGUCUGUCUUUAAUUAUUAAUUAGAAUUUAAUUUUUAAGUUAAAAAGCUUAAAUAUUUAUAAAAGACGAGAAGACCCUAUAGAUCUUUAUUUAAUUAAUUUUAUUUUUAAUAAGGAUUAUUUUAUUAGUUAAUUUUAAUUGAAUUUUGUUGGGGUAAUAGAAAGAUAAAAAUAAUUCUUUUAUUUAUUUACAAAGAUUAUUGGUUAUUUGAUCCUUAAAUUAAGAUUAAAAGUUUAAGUUACCUUAGGGAUAACAGCGUAAUUUUUUUAGAGAGUUCAUAUCGAUAAAAAAGUUUGCGACCUCGAUGUUGGAUUAAAAAUUAUUCUAGGUGAAGAAGYUUAGAGAUUUGGUCUGUUCGACCAUUAAAUUUUUACAUGAUCUGAGUUCAGACCGGUGUAAGCCAGGUCGGUUUCUAUCUUUAUUAAAAUAAAAUAUUUUAGUACGAAAGGACCAAGUAUUUAGUUAAUUUAUUUAAAAUUUGAAUAUUAUUAUUAUUUUGGCAGAUUAGUGUAAUGAAUUUAGAAUUCAUAAAUGUGAUUAAGAUUACAAAUAAUAUUGUUUUAUUUAGAUUUAUUGUUUUCAUUAAUUUUUAUAUUAUUAUUAAUAGUAUGUGUAUUAUUAGGGGUUGCUUUUUKRMCUUUA
rnacentral:rRNA from 1 species